UGCCUGCCUGUCCACAUCAGGGAAGAAGCUCCCCCGGGUGUAGCACUCAGCAUCCUGGGAGCAGAGCGCUUGUUUCCAGCUGAGCCCCAGGCAUCAGUGGUUUCAUUCCUCCACUGAAAAAAUUGGGUAAAGGCUCCCUAGUGCUCCAGUUUGCUCUCCUGCCCAGCCUUGUCAGCAGAUCUCCUGCAGCUUGCAGAUCUCAGAAGGACACAGCAAGAACGCAUCAUCUGUGUACCUAGAAAAUGUCCCACAGGAUAAGGACACAUCAGCAUCUUGGUUUUGGAUUUCCUGGACUCUGAAAUGAAUUGGGAACAAAACACCCACGGAAAGACUUACAGAGACAAAGUUUGGAGCUGGGAUGAAAUGAUGGACCAUCUAGAGACUGCUGCUAUGGGUUUUAUGGAGAGAGCAAGGGACAGUGGCCCACACCUGGAAUCCUGGCAUUGGAAAAGCUGAAAGAGGAGGAUUAUAGGUUCAGGACUAUUGUGAGACCCUGUCUUGGCAAACAAACAGACAAAAAGCAAUAUGCCUCUGAUGGGAGAAACAAGGAGAUAGGAUCCCUUCAAUGAGAAGACACCCUUCCCCUACCCACCCCCACCCCUCCCCAGGGAUUAUUCUGAUGGGAGGAAGAGCUGAGAAGAGGAGAGGUUCCAGAUGAAGCCGAACUGUCCGAGUCACCCCACACCCAGCAAUCGAGCUUUAGUCUGAGGUGCUGAGACUCUCAGGAGCAACGCUGUUCCAAACAGAGUACUCACAAGUCAGCACACCCUGAGCAUGCGUAUCACCAAAACCAUCUCUCACUUGUUUUUGUGCUCCUGGGAAACAUUGUCAAGACAGGCAUAGACUGACAUCAGCAGGUCAUCCAGAGGGCCCUGUGCCAGCUCCCUGUCUGUUUGAUAUAUUGGGGCUUUGCCUGAACACAGGCUUUGGGAACAGAGUAUGUCAUCAAAUCCACCUGGAUAAACUCCCUGAGCUAACACAGAGAUCCCACGUCAGUCUCCUCAGCACACUUAAUGUGGGUUUUAUUUCCCUACAUUUCUUCCCCCUGGGGCGUCUUUGGAUUGCACGUGAAGGCAGCAGGACCAAGUGCUCAGAACCCUGCAGAGAAGUCGACAGUAAACCCUAACCUUGUAUGGUCUGAAGCAAGGGAAUGACUUGCAGAGCUCUGGGCAGUGACUGCCCAGAUACAAAUUAUUCUGAUGGCAGGAACUCAAAGUGUGUCAUAAACCAAGGAGGGGUUGCUAAUUGAACAGUGAUGCUCAGCAGAUGGACCAGAGCCCAGAGAACAGUCUAGGUCAGUUUCAGUCCUUGGGGUCUUCAAAUCCCUAGCCCAUAGAGAAGGGCUCUUUCCACCCCAAUACAAAGACAGUGAACAGAGAGAAUGGUGCUGAUUUAUCUAAAUGGUAAUCUGCUGUGCCAACUGGAGACCUCACUGAGGGACUCAAGCAGUCUUGUCCUGCCCAUCAUAUGGCUUAUAUAAAUCUAAAAGGGCCAUGGAAGAAUUGAUCAUUAAUGGGUUUAAACUUUGGUGACACUAUUGAGAGGUGAUAGAAGAAAUAAGGCAAGGUCUACCUAGUUGGAGUAGGUCAUUGGGAUCAUGUCCUCUGUCCCUUUCAGUCUCCUCUCCAGUCACCACACAGUCCUGCUUUACUGGGCCCUCUCUGCCUUAUCCUGGCGGAAAGCAACUGAACUAACCAAUCAUAGACCACGGGCCAAGAUGAAUUCCUCCUUUGGCUGUUCUACUCUGUCUUGUCACCAAGGCAACACAUCCAUCCAUGUGGUCAAUGCCUCAUCUUGGAAGGUCUCUCCAUUAGACUCAGCACCAAGUGAUUCAAGGUGUCAACUGGCAAUUGGUUUAUUGUCUUUUGUAACUCGUACAAAUCUCCCUCUGCCCACAUCAAGGGAACUCGGUGUGAAAACUCCCUUGUUCAUUCAUGGAAGAGCUCAUCAUGGAGUAGACAUACCUCUGCAAGUCAUAGGCAGGAAAGGAUUUGUCUGUGUCUGUCCCCUCUUGUUGGCUGGGAUGUCCUCAGCUGAUCUUUGUUAAGGCUCCCCUCUUUCCCUCUCUGAUUCUUGGGAAUCCUUCAGCAAGCUAUGUUAUCUUUCCAAGAAGGUGACAUUUCCAGAGGAAAGGAGAAAGUGCCCAAGUUUGCAUAUGAUCAGGGCUGGAGUUCCUACCACCUAUGUUUUGAUCCUUUCCCACUAGUCUUUCAGUUUCUUGGAUCUCCUACAGCCUGCAGCUUGUGUUUCCAUGUCCUUCCUCCCUUAACAUAUGCCUUGGCUUGUUUCUCACUGUGUCUAUCAGUUCUCAGAAUCACAGCUGCAUCAGAGAAAUCAAGGAUAAAAUUAUUUAUGCAUUUGUCGUGCCUGCAUCUCUAUGAGGAGACCACAGAGCAUCAUCUAUUCUGCCCUUUGGGAUCCUUGGAGCACUGUUUGUGUAGCUUUGGGAGUGAGGGACAGAAAUAGAUAUUAUCAAUCAUGUUCAGCCUAAUGUACAUAAAGAGACAUGUAUUUCAUGCUUUAAUUUUUUAAUCUGUAGAUGACAUAGGAUGAAUCAGGGAUACUUGGAGAAAUGGCUUAACUUUCAACUCUGGAGCAGAGAACAUAAAGGGGAGAUGAGGUAUCCUAUUCUGGCCAAGUUCGAGAAAGCCAUCAAAGGCUCAGGGCCAUGUGAGAAGGACUGUCAUGGGACACAGAUGGAAUAGAUGCAAUUGAAAUACAAUUGGUUGUAACACUGAGGCCCAGGACUUCAUUAUCAUCAUCCUUGCCAUCAUCGUCACCUGAAAGCCCAUCUCCAGGAAACAGCCCAAAUCCUCUUUGGACAUGGCUGUAACUGACUACAGCAGAGCUCUCUCUCCUUCCUUUAAAAGAAAGUGGUUAAGACAGUAUUAAGCAGCUUUAUGUGGCCUUCCCUGUGCACAGUGUGUUGAACUGGCACAAUAACCUUCGUCACUGAGACAACCUUCACCCCAUGGAGAAAAUCUAGCUGAUCAGUGGGAAAGGACCCUGAACUUCUAAGCAAAACUGUAUACAGCCACUAAUGAGUGGACUUAUGGAAAACCAAAGGCUCCAUCCAUGAAAGGCUUCUGGGUUAAGAGGCUUGGGCUCUGGCCAACUCUCCCUGCAGGCAGCCUUACUGGCUAGCAUACUCCAUGCUAUAUAUGAUAGCAUUUACCUGCUCAUGGAACAGGAGAAGAAGGGCUUCCCACCACUCAAAAGUUUUCCUCACUGAAACAACUGACUCUAAAGUAGAUCAAGCCUUGUGAUAUCAACUCCAUCCACAAGAACAAGAACUGGGAGUAAAGAGGAAAUUGUGUCACAGGGAAGGAGACAGACCUAUCUCAAGCACGGGGCAAUAUCCAGGAUGCACAGCAAGGUUAUGAGUAAGUAAAGUCCUGCCAGACUGCACUUCAGUGGGAGAAGCUGUCCUAAAAUGCUUGUACUGAGAAAUGCCACCUGCUGCACUUCCAACUAUGGCUUUGAGGUUUUUCUAUGCCAUCAUCUCUGCCAGAGGUUUAAUAUCUUCAUCCUACAAGGAAAAUACACAUUGAAAGGAUUUUAUGAUGGAUCUUCUAAAAAGUAAAAUAUGGAGCUGCCCUGGUGGAUAAAGAAAGCACUUACUAAGCAAGCCCACAGACCAUAGUUUGAAUCCCCAGCAUCCACGUGACAAAGUGUUUUCUUGGAAGAGAACCCUGAAUGUCUCUCAACUGUGCAAAGGAUUCAACUCUCUCUUUCUCACAAGCCACUGUGAGUGAGUUUUGUCAGUGCAGCAUGGCCCACUUGAUACUUACUAACAGUAAAACUGAAUGAGC
ensembl:lincRNA